AGAGCGAACGCUGGCGGCAGGCCUAACACAUGCAAGUCGAGCGCCCAGCAAUGGGGGCGGCGGACGGGUGAGUAACACGUGGGAAUAUGCCUUUCGGUACGGAACAACUCAGGGAAACUUGAGCUAAUGCCGUAUACGCCCUUACGGGGAAAGAUUUAUCGCCGAAAGAUUAGCCCGCGUCUGAUUAGCUAGUUGGUGAGGUAAUGGCUCACCAAGGCUUCGAUCAGUAGCUGGUUUGAGAGAACGACCAGCCACACUGGGACUGAGACACGGCCCAGACUCCUACGGGAGGCAGCAGUGGGGAAUCUGGACAAUGGGGAAACCCUGAUCCAGCGAUGCCGCGUGAGUGAUGAAGGCCUUCGGGUUGUAAAACUCGUUUCGACGGGGACGAUAAUGACGGUACCCGUAGAAGAAGCUCCGGCUAACUUCGUGCCAGCAGCCGC
rnacentral:rRNA from 1 species